GACGAACGCUGGCGGCGUGCCUAAUACAUGCAAGUCGAACGAGUGGCGGACGGGUGAGUAAUGUCUGGGAAACUGCCCGAUGGAGGGGGAUAACUACUGGAAACGGUAGCUAAUACCGCCUACCAUCGGAUGUGCCCAGAUGGGAUUAGCUAGUAGGUGGGGUAACGGCUCACCUCGGCGACGAUCCCUAGCUGGUCUGAGAGGAUGACCGGCCAACCUGGAACGGAGACACGUCCCAAACUCCUACGGGAGGCAGCAGUGGGGAAUAUUGCACAAUGGGCGCAAGCCUGAUGCAGCCAUGCCGCGUGUAGGAAGAGGUCCUUCGGGUUGUAAGUACUUUCAGCGAGGAGGCGUUACUCGCAGAAGAAGCACCGGCUAACUCCGUGCCAGCAGCCGCGGUAAUUC
rnacentral:rRNA from 1 species